rnacentral:rRNA from 1 species
CCUACGGGGGGCAGCAGUGAGGAAUAUUGCACAAUGGUCGGGACACUGAACCAGCCAAGCCGCGUGAGGGAUGAAGGUACAGAGUUUCUUAAACCUCUUUUGUCAGGGAACAAAGGCGGGGACGUGUCCCCGGAUGAGUGUACCUGACGAAAACGCAUCGGCUAACUCCGUGCCAGCAGCCGCGGUAAUACGGAGGAUGCGAGCGGUAUCCGGAUUUAUUGGGUUUAAAGGGUGCGCAGGCGGUUUGUUAAGUCAUAGGUCAAAGGCCGGGGCUCAAACUGCGGCCGCCGUUUGAACCUGGCAGACUCGAGUUGGAGAGAAGUAUGCGGAAUGCGCGGUGUAGCGGUGAAAUGCGUAGAGAUCGGGCAGAACUCCGAUGGCGAAGGCAGCAUGCCGGCUCCACACUGACGCUGAGGCACGAAAGCGUGGGUAUCGAACAGGAUUAGAUACCCGGGUAGU